ensembl:lncRNA
AGAACAAGGGAGAAAGAGCAGUUGGGGAGCUUCAUGCAGGCUUCCUCCAUCAGCUGCUCUUAAUGAUAAAGCAAUGAGUUGGAUUUAACCACUUCCUGCCACCUACUGCCUUUUUGCCGAUGAUGUCUCUUCAGGGAAUAGAUCUUAAAGCAGAAUUUAUGGGCCAGCUGAGCCUGCAGAAGAGGUUUCCACGCCUGGCUUCCUGCCCCCAUGGUCCUGAUGCAGGAGAAAGCAGCAGCUCAGAUCCAGAGUUUAUCGGGUGGAGGAGGAGAGAGCUUGUGUCCUGUCCCCCUGGGGCUCUUCCCUGCCCUCUGUGUUUGCUUCAGCCGCCCCCCUGGAGCAUCUGGCACCAGCAUCGUGCACAGGCACUGCUCAGGGUCCAAGUGUGGCCUCGUGACAUAGAUCAUCAGGAUUUCAGAUGAUUUGAGAAGAAUGUCCCCUGCCCCCAACUCAGACCACCCCUAGACUAGAAUUUCACAGGAACAUCAUCCUUUCUUUGGCAAAGCAUUCUUCAUCUUAUAAAUGGCAGAUUCUCCUGAGGAUGGAAAAGCACCAAGCCUCCCUUCUAAUGUGAAUCUUCAUGGUCAAAGGUACCUAAUAUUUAACAGAAAUACACAGCACCCAAGGCAUCAUCAUGACUCGAUCCCAGAUCUCUUUUCACUUGAUCCUGGGGUUCAUCUUAGCAACUCAAUCAGGCACUACCAAAUGAUUAGAAAUGGCUCUGGAGAUGAAAUUCAUUUGCCAACUUGGGUUCCAGGAAACAGAAAGACAUAAAUAAGGAAAGGACCAGAAGAGUCAAGACACUUGCCCAGGAUAAAGCCGUUGGUUGGCCACGGAGCUGAUCUGAUACCCUGAGACACUUGGCCAAAACUCUGCAGAUUCUUUUUUUCAAUUUUGUCCUGUUAACAUUGCCAUGGGAAAGCUAAUGGAUAUACAAUCCCCUUACAAGAUACACGGAUUUUCUCACAUUUACGUGUCCGGGAAAAUUUCAGAGCUGGAACUCAGCUCUUCUCUGGUCCCCUGUCUUACUUCUUCAAACGCUUAAUUCAGGGUGAGGUUUGCUGUAGAAUUUGUUCAGCUGAUGGAUUUCCAAUUCGAAAAGUUUCUGCUGCUUUGUCACUGUCCUAGCAAAUGGGGGGAUGCUUGUGGGAAAGAAGUUGGAGUCCUGGCUGGUUAGAGGCAUGCAUCCUUAUCACUUGUGUCUUAGAGCUGGAGGCUAAUGUUUUCCCUGGUCUCUAGACUAAAGUAUGGGACCCUUUGCUGUUCAAUAGCUUCUCUUUUUAGGGAGGAAGCUCUUUGUAUUUUUGCUCGUCUUAUCAAAGAUUUUUUUUUUUUUUUUUGAUGUGGAUCAUUUUAAAAGUCCUUAUUGAAUUUGUUACUAUAUUGCUUCUGUUUUAUGUUUUUUGGUGUUUUGGCCAAGAGACAUGUGGGGUCUUAGCUUCCUGACCAGGGAUUGAACCUGCACUCCCUGUACUGGAGAGCGAAGUCUUAACCACUGGACCACCAGGGAAGUCUGGAAGCUCUGCUUUAAUGUCUCCUCAUCCUUGGGAAUUGAUUCCUUUGUCUGUAUGUUCAUUCUUUACCUUAGGAGGCUGUGUUUGACUUUGUUGACCUGAGUCGCAGCUUUCUUCCUCUGAGAAGACUUCUGUGACCUGUUGGCAAUGCUUGUGCUCGUCUCCAUUGUUUCCUGAACAUACCUUAGAACAGCCUUGACAUAGUGCCCUGGAAUUGUUAGCUAGACUAUGAAAAAGUGAAAUGGAAAAUUUCACUCUUACAUGCAUUAUUCCAAGUGAAAGACAUCAGACUAAGAAGGAAAGAUACUAUAUGAU